UUUCUGCUCUGGCUGAUUGUUGUCUUUAUCUGUGGCAUGGUUGACUUCUAGGAUAUGUCGCUGAACAGCUCCAGGGAAAUGCUCCAGCUGAGCAAGAUCCUGAAAGUCAUCAACAGAAGCAUUCUGCGUUGUCAGAAGACAAAGAGAAGUGAAAGGAAUUCUCGGAGGUGUUCACGAAUUUCAAGCUUGGAAUCCAUAAACACUCCACUAAGUGGCAGCACCUGUCCACGUUCCUCUGCUAACCCACCGCUCAGUCUGUGAUAACAUCCCUGUCAGAGAACGUGUCUCAUGUGAAGGAAACACAGAAGUCCAUCUGCUCUAGGUCUGGUGUGUUCCAACUUGGCUCUGAUCAAAGCUGCCUUGCAGCACGUGAAAUGAAGGAAGGACAGACACAACAAGACCUGCUUUCAGUCACUGAGUCAUAGUUUAUAAUGAAUCCUUUAGGGGAGAGCCGACUCUACCUUUGUGGGGCGUGAGCGGAAGCCAGGCUCUGAAAUGGUGUAUGUGACUGAGUCUGCACGCAGCAGCUCACAGAGCUUCAUGGAAAGAGCCUGGCCGCGGCGACUAAGGAGGGCCUGGAAUGCCCAGAGAAUGAGUGAGAGAAGAAAAUGGAUGAGAGCAAGGCAAAGUUUCAGAGUCUCAUGAAGGAGCUCUUGGAGAAAAAGGUUGAGAUGGUAAGUUUGUGUCAGGGAUUCUCCCCUGAAAAACAUACAGGCUGUCCCCGGAGCAAUCACAGACUACUGUGUCUGGGAACUUUCUGGAUGUUUCCCCUGGUCUCUUGAUGAAGUAGGAACUUCAGCUUUUCUUUGCAUAUACAUCAUUACAGUGAUUAUCCCAUCUAAUAUACAGGCAUGAGAAAGGACUUGCUGUCUUGCCCAGGUUAUUCAUGAAUCCCUGGACUCAAGCCACCAUCCCGGAAACUCAGUAUCCAGAGUAACUGGGGUAGUCAUCUGCCAUUCUUUCUUUUUAAUUAUUUUUAUUUUUAUUAAUUACAGUUUAUUCACUUUAUAUGUACCUCCCUCCCUCUUCCCCUCCCAAUUCCACCCUCCCUCUUCCCCACCCGUGUCCCUCUCCUAGUCCACUGAUAGGUGAGGUCCUCCUCCCCAUCCUAAUCUAUCAGAUCUCAUCAGGAGUGGCUGCAUUGUCACCUUCUGUGGCCUGAUAAGGCUGCUCCCCCCCCCCCAGGUCAAGGGGAUCAAAGAGCAGGCCAAUCAGUUCAUGUCAGAGACAGACCCUGUCCCCAUUACUGUGGAACCCACUU
rnacentral:lncRNA from 1 species